rnacentral:rRNA from 1 species
GACGAACGCUGGCGGCGUGCUUAACACAUGCAAGUCGAACGAAGUGGCGAACGGGUGAGUAACGCGUAAUCAACCUGCCCUUCAGAGGGGGACAACAGUUGGAAACGACUGCUAAUACCGCAUACUGAAGGAGGGGAUUGCGUCUGAUUAGACAGGUGGGGGGGGAACGGCCGACCAAGGCGAUGAUCAGUAGCCGGUCUGGGAAGAUGAACGGCCAAAUGGGGAAUGGGAAACGGCCCAGAAUCCUACGGGAGGGAGCAGUGGGGAAUCUUCAGAAAUGGACGAAAGUCUGAAGGAGCAAAGGCGCGGGAGUGAUGACGGCCUUCGGGGUGUAAAGCUCUGUUAAUCGGGACGCGGUACCGGAAGAGAAAGCCACGGCUAACUACGUGCCAGCAGCCGCGGUAAUUC